UCCAAAUGCAUGUGUAUGUGAAGCUAUCAAGAGAGAUUCAAGUAUACAUAGGCUCGCGAAGAAAUGUAUAUGUUAAAGUUAGACUUUCGUGUUUCCUCAGUGCUAUUGAUACAUGCUCUUGUCCAGACAUACUAAGUAAGGGGGAUUUGAUUUUAAUUGUACUGUGGUUUGGUGAUACUUAUUGUAACUAGUUAUGCGACAACUCCUCCUUGAAUGUUUUAUAAGUGAAGCAAUUUUG
rnacentral:misc_RNA from 1 species